GAAGCUCGUAUCAGCACCUUUUUACUGGCAUGUUCGCUGAAGCAGAGGUGGGUUUUGGUUUCUUUCUCUUUGAACAGCGAAGAGGCCUGCACAGGAUUUCCAGCUGCGGCUGCUGAGGGCUGCUGUGCGGCGGUGAGGUGCGGGCCUCCUGCGAGCCCACAUCCAGCAGGCUGGAACAAAGGGCUCCUCUGCCCUGAGCUGUGCCCGUCACUCCCUGCAAGGUGCUGCCCCGAAACAGGACAGGGCCUCAGCUGCUGCUGGGGGGCUGCUGUGCAGAAGAGCCUCUUUGCUCUGCAGCCAGCCCAGUCCAGCUCUGCAGGGAGGGUGGAAGCUCUGAGUACUAGGCCAGAGAAAGAGGGUGCUGCUGUGGGUGCCUGCCCUCUGCUUGGCUGGCCAAGACCACACUGGGGCAAUGUGUUUCCUUCAGCUCCUCUCCUGAUUCUUCCUGCCCUGCAGAAGACUAAGUCUCAGACAACAUCCUCUGAAUCAGGCCUGUGAAGCACAACGGAUUUAUGCCUGCUGAAAGAAAAUAUAUGGAAAAUGAUGAAUCAUCUAGAAACAAGAGAACCAGGAAACAAGAAACAAGGUAGAACAGUCUGGUUUUAUUACCAUAUGUAAUCAAGAGCUUUUAUUUCCCACCUCUCCUCCUUUUUCUUUUCCUUUCCUGCCUUUUUUUUUUUCCUUUUACAACCGACAUUAAGUUGUGAAUCAUAUGUUAGGGGGAUGUGGAAAUGAAGGGAAACUGGUGACAUCACAAUACUUUACAACUUUACAAAUGAGAGUCUGAAUUUGUUGCAUCUACCAGUGUAUAGCAAGGGUGGAAAGCAAAGGCACACAUAGGUUCAUGAACCCUCAAAACAGAAUGAGGGUGGAAGGGAACUGGGGUUGGGAAAGGAUGAAAACAAAAGACCCACCGAAUACAAAAUGAACAUUUCGAGGUCAACCCAGUAACUGCAGUGUAAGUUGUGAAGGCAGAUCGCUGCACAAGCUGUUUCCAUGAUUUUCCAUCUCCAUGGUUUGGGACAACGUUUUGAGGGAUAAUAUCAAGGGAACUCUGCUUCAGGGGUUGGAGCUUGAUAAAAAGGUGUUAAGUUGGUUCUUUUUUAAAAAAAUUAGCUUGCUACCUACUGUUUUCAAAGGGUUUUCAGUUUGUUUUUAUUAAAACAACAACAUUGCUUUGGAUACAGAUCUAUCUACUCCAGUCUGCAUAGUUCACUACGGGUGAACAAAACUGUUUCAUAGAAGAAGCCAUGAUGAAAUGAAAGAACAUGCAAGCACCCUUGUUACACACUUUGGUGUAGACCAUCCAGACCUUAUAUAUACCAUCUAUAAGCUAGUGGACUUUAAAUCUGUCUUUUCAACCAUUCGGAAACAAAACCAAAACCCUGAAAAACAAAUGGAAGUAUAAAAUUUUAAAAAACAAAUUGAAACAGAAACAACCACCUUACUCAAACAUACUGUUCAGUAGAUAUAUAUAUAUAUAUAUAUAUAUAUAAAAAGCUUAGAAGCGAUCCCCAUCAUUUUUCUACAGUAUGU
rnacentral:lncRNA from 1 species